rnacentral:lncRNA from 1 species
ACUUCCCUGAUAGUCCCUGCCCGCCGCAACCCGUCCCGAGUCCCGGCCCCGAGCGCGCGAGGAAGCCCCAGCGCCCCGAGCGCUCCUGCCUGGCCCUCGGCGCUCGCUGCUCCGCGCCCGACGCCGCCUCCUCGCGCGCAGCACCCAGGGCCGGGAGGAGGAGCGGGGGUCCGCAGGGACCAAGAGGGCCCGAGGGACGGCAGUUCACAGAAGCGCGACAGUGAGUGGGAUCCAAGAAGCGAAAGUCUAAUUAAAGUUGCCGCUACCCGGACCGGUCCCCAAAGUGCAACCAGACCCGAGCCCCGCGCGCCCCACCUCCGCCCGCAGCUUCGGACUCCCAUCCGCGUGCGGUGGCGGGAAUGGCGCGCGGUGCAGUCCGGGGCCCGCUCGGGACCCCUCUGGGAGUCCCUGCAGGCCAGGAGCCUGCGCAGGGCGGGAACAGGGGUGGGGCAAGGGCGCAGCCACUUACCUGGCGCAGCGAACGCUCCCGAGGCCGCGGGCGCCUCCAGUCCGGGCGCGGUUCUCCGCGGUGGAUCCUCCGCUCGGGGCGCGCAGGCGGCGGAGAGGACCUCCGCCCCAGCUCGGGCCCGGUGCCUCCUCCCGCUCCGAGCGGAACCCGGUGCGAUUUGUGGGCGAGAAGCGUGGGGCCGGCGGCCGGAGCGCGCGGGUAGCGAGAGGGCGCGGUGCGGCGUUCCUCUUCGGCCCCCGGCGCGUUCGGUCCCCCACCUCCCGCCGCCGCCGCCGCCGCCUCGUCCUCUCUUCUCCCCGCAGCACUGCCGGAUCCGGCUUGCGCGCCGGGAAGGCUCCCAGCGAAGUGCGAGCGAAGCCUCCGGCGAGGCUGGAAAUAGCGCCGCGCCCGCCCGGCGCCCCGCCCCCGGCCCGUGCCCCGCCCCGCCGUGGUGGCGGCUACGGCGGUGGCCGGGCCGGGCGGUGAUCGCUCCCGCGAUGCGCUCGGCCCUCCCGGGGGCUCGCGGGCGCCGCGCCCACGCGCGCUCUGCGGCUCCCGCGGCCCCGCUGGCCGCGCGCUCUGAAGGAGUCGCUGCUGGGCGCGGUCCGGCGGCCGCGGGGGUGGGAGCGGUCGUGGCGGUCUCCCCGCGGAGGUAG